rnacentral:rRNA from 1 species
GGUUAAGUUAGAAAGGGCGCACGGUGGAUGCCUUGGCACUAGGAGCCGAAGAAGGACGGGACUAACACCGAUAUGCUUUGGGGAGCUGUACGUAAGCGUUGAUCCAGAGAUUUCCGAAUGGGGGAACCCACUAUCUUUAGUCGGAUAGUAUCCUUACGUGAAUACAUAGCGUGAGGAAGGCAGACCCAGGGAACUGAAACAUCUAAGUACCUGGAGGAAGAGAAAGAAAAAUCGAUUUCCUGAGUAGCGGCGAGCGAAACGGAAAGAGCCCAAACCAAGAAGCUUGCUUCUUGGGGUUGUAGGACACUCUAUACGGAGUUACAAAAGAAAGUUAUAAAUGAAGCGGUCUGGAAAGGCCCGCCAAAGACGGUAACAGCCCGGUAGUUGAAAUGGCUUUCCCUCCAGAGUGGAUCCUGAGUACGGCGGAACACGUGAAAUUCCGUCGGAAUCCGGGAGGACCAUCUCCCAAGGCUAAAUACUCCCUAGUGACCGAUAGUGAACCAGUACCGUGAGGGAAAGGUGAAAAGCACCCCGGAAGGGGAGUGAAACAGUUCCUGAAACCGUGUGCCUACAAGUAGUUAGAGCCCGUUAAUGGGUGAUAGCGUGCCUUUUGUAGAAUGAACCGGCGAGUUACGAUUUGUUGCAAGGUUAAGCGGAAAAAGCGGAGCCGUAGCGAAAGCGAGUCUGAAUAGGGCGCAUAAGUAACAGGUCGUAGACCCGAAACCAGGUGAUCUACCCAUGUCCAGGAUGAAGGUAAGGUAAUACUUACUGGAGGUCCGAACCCACGCACGUUGAAAAGUGCGGGGAUGAGGUGUGGGUAGCGGAGAAAUUCCAAUCGAACUUGGAGAUAGCUGGUUCUCUCCGAAAUAGCUUUAGGGCUAGCCUCGAGGUAAAGAGUCAUGGAGGUAGAGCACUGUUUGGACUAGGGGCCCUUCUCGGGUUACCGAAUUCAGAUAAACUCCGAAUGCCAUGUACUUAUACUCGGGAGUCAGACUGCGAGUGAUAAGAUCCGUAGUCGAAAGGGAAACAGCCCAGACCACCAGUUAAGGUCCCCAAAUAUAUGUUAAGUGGAAAAGGAUGUGGGGUUGCUUAGACAACCAGGAUGUUGGCUUAGAAGCAGCCACCAUUGAAAGAGUGCGUAAUAGCUCACUGGUCGAGUGACCCCGCGCCGAAAAUGUACCGGGGCUAAACAUAUUACCGAAACUGUGGAUGAACCUCUUUAGAGGUUCGUGGUAGGAGAGCGUUCUAAGGGCGGUGAAGUCAGACCGGAAGGACUGGUGGAGCGCUUAGAAGUGAGAAUGCCGGUAUGAGUAGCGAAAGAAGGGUGAGAAUCCCUUCCACCGAAUAUCUAAGGUUUCCUGAGGAAGGCUCGUCCGCUCAGGGUUAGUCGGGACCUAAGCCGAGGCCGAUAGGCGUAGGCGAUGGACAACAGGUAGAGAUUCCUGUACCAGUGCUAAUUGUUUAACCGAUGGGGUGACACAGAAGGAUAGGGAAUCGCACGAAUGGAAAUGUGCGUCCAAGCAGUGAGUGUGAGAAGUAGGCAAAUCCGCUUCUC